CUAAAAUUUCCACUAUCGCAUGUACCUUCGUCCGCCUCACUCGUUCCCUCCUCUCGCCGAUCUCCUCUGCGGUGCACCUUCCCGGCAUUGAUCUCUCCCUCUUCUUUUCUGAAGACAAGUAUCUUCCUAUUUCUCUGAAGGAGAAGUGGAGGCGGCGUGCCCGGGAAGCCAGGGGACGCGCGACUAGCGAGCCCUAGAUUCUUCGUUGCUGCCGCUGCCAACAUCGCUGGCCUAGCCACCUCCUCCCUGCCGCUGACGCAAGCCGUCAUCUCCCUCCGCCGUUGUCGCAGGCCAAGCUGCCUCCACUCGCUGGAAAUAUUGAGAAUUUUCUGUGAGACAUCUGGGAUAUUCCUUGUCAGAAACCCUCCCUGUCUCUCAGUCUUAUUAGAGGCAGGAGUGCACGAUGCAGAUACAGGUAAAGUGCAACUGUGGUGAUGGGAAAUGCCCUGAGUGGGCGAUAAUUGAACUCCAGGGUGUUGUUGAAUCCCAGUUAGCUAUCAGUGAUCAGAUCAAUGGUCUUGAGAUUGGACAUCUCUGCUGCUCUUCGUUGUCUUCUUCCUCUCAGCUAAGCUACAUCUUCACUGUUGGUUACCAUGAACUCUCUGGCACAAAAGUACAGUUGAAGAAACCACUAUUGGUGUUAAAGAAAAAGGCAGCAGUAGAUGCUGCAGGGCCUGAAUUUCCUGCUUCCUCUGCCACAGAACUGGAAGUCAUUGGAAUCAUUCGCCAGAAAAUCCUGUUCAAGACUAGACCCAAAGCACUGAUAUCACGGGCACAGGCAAAGAAACUUUCAUAAUAAGGCAACCAUCCAAAGAUCAGGGUAAAUGCGCAAGAAUUAACUCGAAUCCGAGCCCCAACCCAUUGCAUGUUUUAUGAUUAUGAGGAUGAGAAGCUUUACGAUCGAUUCCACCUCCAAGUGGAACACCUCUUGCUUUUGGAUUUUGAUGCUCCUAUCAUUCAACUCCAUGUAGAUUUUGGACUCUGAAGCGACGACCAUAUGGGAAAGCAUUAAGAGGCCAAGAAGAGGGGUGUAUGCUUGUGUGCAGUCGCUCGCUUCUUAGUGCAUUUGCAUUUUUGUGAAUUCAUCUGUCGGCGUUAUGCAUAUUUGCAUUGCUAUAGGCACUUGCACUUGUCUCUUUCCUGUCGUAUUCUUUUCGCUUCGCGUAUGCACGAGGCUUAGUUCUGCAGUCGUCCAUCUAAAACAGCCUUCUUUGCAGAUCAAAGAAUGUUAUUUCUCGUUUUAUAUGAAACCAUCAACUCGUGUGUAAUCAAAAUCAUACGUGUGAUAAAGGAACUAAUAGUAAAGGAUUCCUUAUUCUAUUUA